UUGCUGUGAUGAAAGUGAUUCCAAAGCCAUUCGUAGUUUCCACCAGAAGUUGAAAGACUCUGUUGGUCCAAGUUCCUUCCUUGGAUGUCUGAGCGA